AUAAUAAUUUUAUGACAAGAAAGGAUGUAUAAUUUAUGACCAGAAUAAUAAUUAUAGUAACCUAUAACAAUAAUAGAGUUCGGCUACUAUACUAUCGACAGUAUCGAGCGUUUCGUGCUAUGAAAUUUUUUACAGUUAUAUCUAUCUCUUUAAUCAUUUUUAUCCGUUAGAUUAUACUAUUACACCAACCAUCCGCUCAACCCUAGAAAAUAUAUAAUUUGAGUUUGAAUCCUAUU
rnacentral:lncRNA from 1 species